rnacentral:rRNA from 1 species
UACGUAGGGGGCAGCGUGUCCGGAUUUAUUGGGCGUAAAGCGCGUGUAGGUGGCCAAGUAGGUCCGCUGUGAAAACUUGAGGCUCAACCUCAAGCUGUCGGUGGAAACCCCUUGGCUAGAGUCCGGAAGAGGAGAGUGGAAUUCCUGGUGUAGCGGUGAAAUGCGCAGAUAUCAGGAAGAACACCAUGCGAAGGCAGCUCUCUGGGACGGUACUGACACUGAAGACGC